rnacentral:lncRNA from 1 species
GCCCCCCCCAGGCGCACCCAUACGUCUUUCGUUCCCCUGCAUUUAUCGUUCAAUAAAAGUCGUUUCCUUUAUUAGAAACAGGAGACGCUUCUCCCACCGCCCUCACCUCAUGCUCCCUCCGCGGGCGCAGCCGGCGGCCCCCCUUCCACACCGCUCCCCCGCUCCCCCCACCGCUGCCCCCUAAAAAUAACAAUAACAGUAAUAACAAUAAUAACAGCCGCCGUCCCCAGCAGUCGCGGCAGCCAGCCCCCCCUCCUCUAAGCCCAGCCACCCCCUCCCCUUCCCUCUCAAAUCCCCCAUCGCCAGGCGCAGCCAACCCCCCCCCCCCCCCUGCCUUUCCCCAGGCGCAGCCAACGACCCAGCAAAUCCCAGCGCCAGGCACGGCUCGGCCUCCGCCCGCCUCACAACUCCCCCUGGGCACCGAGCAGGUCUGCGCGGCGGCGGCUGCUUGUGCGACUCCGAUCGGAGCUGCCGCCGCCGCCGCCGCCGCUACCGGGCGGGGAAGGGUUUCUCCGGGCGCCACCGGGAGAGCUGGUGCUCGGAGGAUGCCAGCCCGCCUCGCCGUGCUGUGCCGCGCCCCGCCGUGCCCCUCCUCCGCGGCGCGGCUGCGGGGAGAGCACAGCGCCCGGCGGAGAUCUCCCCGCCGAGGAGGGGUCGGGAUGGAGCGCGCUCUAUAUCGCAUUAAAUUAAUCGCCCGGCUCCGGAGGAGGCAGGUGAUUCUGCCAAACACAAUGAGGGGUUUGAACGCUGCGGAAUAAAGCGCCCUUCAUGGGGCUCUAGGCGGUGGCAGCGCUCAGCUCCGCUGCGGGACCGAUGGGUCCCGGGGGGAUCCCGGCGCUGAUCCCCACCGCUGCCCUUCCCCCCCCCCCCCCAGCGCGGUGGAGCUCCGCCGCGGCGCCCCCCAACCUCGGGAUGCAGGGAGGGAGGGAGGGUGAGGGGGGUGGAAGCAGCGAGCAGCAGUCUCCAGGGACAGGAGACCGGAGGGGGGGAAAGCGGCAGCCAGGCCCACCCCACCCUCCAGCCGUGCGGCCCCAGGGGGUGGCCCCUGGGGGUAGGGGGUGAGCAUCAGCCUCCCGCGGGGAGGCAGGGGCCGGACGGCGGAAACCGGGCAGCCCUCAGGCGGCGCGGGGCGGGCGGCGCUGCCCCGGUUCAGGCGGUGGCAGGCGUUGUUUUCCUCGGAGAGCGGAGGAGGAGGAGGAAAUCUCCGGGUUUUUAAUGAGGAGGUGCAGCAGGGCUGAGCGCUGGGAUUACACGGCGCGGAGACAGAGCUGCGGGCUGCGUGUGCGCGCAGGGCUGGUCGUCUCCGCCCGUCU